rnacentral:rRNA from 1 species
AUUGAACGCUGGCGGCAUGCUUUACACAUGCAAGUCGAACGGCAGCGCGGGCUUCGGCCUGGCGGCGAGUGGCGAACGGGUGAGUAAUACAUCGGAACGUGCCCAGUAGUGGGGGAUAGCUCGGCGAAAGCCGGAUUAAUACCGCAUACGACCUGAGGGUGAAAGCGGGGGAUCUUCGGACCUCUCGCUAUUGGAGCGGCCGAUGGCAGCUUAGCUAGUUGGUGGGGUAAAGGCCUACCAAGGCGACUAUCUGUAGCUGGUCUGAUAGGACGACCAGCCAAACUGGGAGUGAGAAACGGCCCAGACUCCGACGGGAGGCAGAAGUGGGGAAGUUUGGACAAGGGGCGAAAGCCUGAACCAGCAAUGCAGCGUGUGUGAUGAAGGCCUGCGGGUUGUAAAGCACUUUUGGCGGGAAAGAAAAGGACUGUGCCAAUACCACGGUUCGAUGACGGUACCCGCAGAAUAAGCACCGGCUAACUACGU